rnacentral:ncRNA from 2 species
UAGAUUAAGCCAUGCAAGUGUUAGUUCAGGUAACGAAACUGCGAAUAGCUCAUUAAUACGCUCAGAAUCUAUUUGGCGGCGACCAACAGGUCUUAAAUGGAUAGCAGCAGCAACUCUGGUGCUAAUACAUGCGAUUGUUUCUCCAGAUGUGAAUUAUGGAGGAAAAGUUGACCUCAUCAGAGGCACGCCAUUCGACUGAGUGACCUAUCAGCUUGUACUUAGGGUCUUUACCUAGGUAGGCUAUCACGGGUAACGGGCGGUUACCGUCGGACUGCCGGAGAAGGCGCCUGAGAGAUAGCGACUAUAUCCACGGGUAGCAGCAGGCGCGAAACUUUCCCACUCGAGACUUUCGGAGGAGGUAAUGACCAGUUCCAUUGGUGCCUUUUGGUACUGUGGAUAGGGGUACGGUUUUCCACCGUACCGAAACCUAGCAGAGGGCCAGUCUGGUGCCAGCAGCUGCGGUAAUUCCAGCUCUGCGAGUUUGCUCCCAUAUUGUUGCAGUUAAAACGCCCGUAGUCUGAAUUGGCCAGCAAUGGUCGUACGUAUUUUUACGUUCACUGUGAACAAAUCAGGACGCUUAGAGUAUGGCCACAUGAAUGACUCAGCGCAGUAUGAAGUCUUUGUUUUCUUCCGAAAACAAGCUCAAUGAGAGCCAUCGGGGGUAGAUCUAUCUCAUGACGAGUGGUGGAAUACUUUGACUCAUGAGAGAGAAGCUGAGGCGAAGGCGUCUACCUAGAGGGUUUCUGUCGAUCAAGGGCGAGAGUAGGAGUAUCCAACAGGAUUAGAGACCCUGGUAGUUCCUACCUUUAAACGAUGCCGACAGGAGUUUGUCAUUUGUUAAUGGCAGAAUCUUUGGAGAAAUCAUAGUUCUUGGGCUCUGGGGGAACUACGACCGC